CGUGCAGCAUGGCGUCAGGCAGUGGUGGCGGGAAAUGUAUCUGAAGUUUGGACGGAAAUGUUCGUGGCAUUGAACAAGCGUUGAAUGUCUGGGUAUACAAGACUGGAUCCACCAAGCAAGUAAUGGAGAGACGAGAAACACUCCUGUGAGACCGUUUUCUGGAUUGUUGCACAUCCGAGAUAUAUUCUGACACUUUAUUGUACUCAGCAGCUAGAGCACAAGCCGCUGAUGAAUCGUUACAGGAUGACCAGCUUCUUGGCCAAUGGCCAUCUUGAUGAUGACCAAUGUUGUAGAGGUGAUUGUACUGUGAUCUCUUGCUGUAGCCUUCUAGGUAAAAAACUGUGAUCUCCUGUAUUGGCCUUUAGUUGGACCGAGAGAGAACACUAUUUUCUUGGCAUCAGAUGCUCCUUUGGUACUAACUGUGCAUCAUUGGUUCAUGAACGACUAGGACAUGCAAGAGGUGCAGCCCCAUCGCUACCAACAAAAUGAAUACUCCCAACCAACAUGGCACUUUUCAACCAAUUAAGUUGUACUUCUACUCAUGGCAAUAUGAAGAGAUUGUUUGGCUGAAAAAUUAGGUGGGAUUGUUUAAAUAUAGCCCCAGAUCAACACUUUUUGUUUUGCGGUCUUGCAUCUGUAGAUGGUUGAAAACAGAUCUUAAGAACUGGAACAAGUAGGGAGAUGUAAUUUGUGAAAUCACUGCUGGCAAGCUUGAGGAAAAGGACUUUUUGGGAAGUGUAUUUAAGGUGUUUUGAAGAAUAAUAUGUACUUACACUGUCGCUAAUCAAGUAGCAAUUAAAAAGAAAUGGAAAAAUAACAACUUAGAAGAUGAGAUUUUUUAAAAAGAAACUCCAGUGAUGUGGGCUCGUAUAUUAUUUGGCCCUGAUCUUUGUCGAUUUCACGCUUCUUUCAAUGAUGUUUCAAAUGAUUGUAAAGUGCAAUCGACAUUUUGAAAUGGUGGCCUCCAUAAGUGUGUAGUAAUGCAGACUGGAAUUCAAACAUGGUUUGUUUAGUUUCCCUAGUUUCAGUAGUUUGACGGAGAGAUGAGCAAGCUAGUCCAUGGAGGCUGUUCUCUGGAGUGUAACAAAUCAGAGAUAUCUUAUCACUGGUGACACUACUCAACAGCCAGAGCACAAGCCGCUGAGUGAGGCGCUGUUCAUGGUACAUCCAACUUCUUGAUGAUGGGGUUCCUGUGCUCGUUGUUGAGGUGAUCGGACUUUGAUCUCUUGCUGCUGCCUGCUGGGUAAAAGCUGUAGCAUUGAUGAAGAGACAAGACCAGGCCCCUUGGAGACAGUUUUCUGGAUUUUGACACAUCACUAGCAACUGGCAUUACUGACAACACAACUCACUCGGUAAGCACUUUAGAUGAUGUUCUGAUUUGAGUCUAAUGAAAGGCAUGUUCCAGAUUUUGAAACAAUAUCUGUACAUAUCUUUGUAUACAUGUACAAUGUUUCUGUAAAAUCUGGAGCAUGGCUUAUCAGGCUCCACUCUUGAGGACGACGAGAGCAUGCUGGAUGAAACGUCGAGUACACACUCUACAGUUCUUAUCAGAACCAUACCUCUUCCAAGGGAGAUCUAUCCACAUGAUGUAACCACAAGCCCUGUUUUUAGUCUCUACCAUGUAAAGCGUCAAGUCUGAUCAUGAAGUUAUGCUCUAUAUAAGGACAAAUCCUAAUUAAGCAUUUGUCUGUGACUGUAGAGUUGGUGAAAAUCAACUGAUCUUGUUGUCAUUUUGUUGUACAUAUCCACUGAAGAACGUUUCAUUCUGACAUUCCCAAACGUAAGAGAACUAGACCCAAAUGAAAGUGAAAGCUUGGGUCAGCCAUUGUGUUUGCCAGUAAUCUUCUCCCUCUUGUACUUGUUAGUCAAUCUAUUUCAGUAGUACGUUUGGUCUUUUUAUACGAGGAUAGUCUUCAAAUAGUCGAAAUUUGCUGACCUUGUUUAUUGGCAUGGGUAUCAUCUCUUCAGUCAUCGGAGAAUGCUUCAUUUCCAUAUUUCCAAAUGUGAGAAAAUUAUCCGCAAAAUGAAGGCCAUGCUUUAAAAUGAAUUUUUCUUACUGGUUCUUUUGAAUCAUGUAAAUUUACUCACUUGAAAAAGUGUCCAGUUUUAAUUAAGUCCACUGUGCCCUCCUUUUGAAGAGAUCUUAUUGGCUUGGUAAUUUAUUAUUAUCCGUGUGAUGCCUUUAAUCAUGUCAUCCCAAUUAAACAUUUGUCUGUUAUUUUUUACGCCUGUACUACCACAAUUACGGCCAAGAUUUAGACUCUAGCAUUGUACCUAUCUGUUCUACUCGUUAGUUUUCUGCUGACAGUAGAACAGUGAUGUGCUCCAUGCUGUGAUAUGCUCAACCUCUCUCAUCGUUUUCUUUAUCAUAGUCUGUCCUGGCAUAGCACGAGCGAAUUCCGGGUGUAAUUUCUGUUGUAUAAGUGCAUUGAGCCUUUUUAAGGGCAAUAAAAGUAACACCAGCACUUUCAAAUUGUUGUCUUGAAUUGCCUUCAGCCCAGUGAAGAAAAAACAAAACGAUUUUGAUUUCCUCAACAUAACAUAACUGGUAAUUUGUAAAUGUUGCAGUGACCGUUUGACUUGUGGUGGCAGCAAAAGGUUUUGUUGAAGGGUUCUUACUUUGCAUGAUUUUCUGUACCAUACGGUGUACCUGAAGGAAAUGUCUCUAGCCCAAUCCAUUUCAAUUUAUGUACAACGACCUUCACCAUCAGGUCGUGUCACCUAGCUUUUUCUCUAGUAACAAUGCUCUUGUGUAUUGGCCAAUAUAAUGUCAGUCUGAUGACCUUCUUCGACAAGAUAUUUCGUGGCUUCCAUAGAUGUUGUCAUGUUAAUAAAAAUACAUCUCAAUACAUUACUAAGGAAACCAAAGUUUUGCAUAUAGGAUGGUUAGAGAAAAUAGUGGAUCUUAAUUAUACCUUAGUUAACAUGCAGUUUUACAGCUGAUAAUGAGUACAAAUAUCUUCUUGUAAUAAUUUCAACGACAAGAUUUCUUGGGUAAAUCAUGUUAAGCCACUACCAAAUCAGACAUACUCAGUAUGUCUUGCUCUCAUCUUACAGGUUUGUAGUGUUGACUAUUCUGGAAUACAAGCAGCCUAUCUGGUAUCCUCACAACAGAAACCUUAUAUUGACAAAUUAGAACAGAAUUGAACGUUGAGCAAUUGGGAAGAUUCUCUAGCAAAGAAAAUUUAAAACGCAUUUCACUGAUUAGUUGCAUAUGUACGUUGAAUUUGUCUUUACGUGAAUCUAAAAUCAUCCAUCUUUUUCUUACCUUUGUUGUUAGAGAUCUUUCUGGAGCUUUUGACAGUGGAACUGUCUCCGUUAAUAGGAGACAGACCUCAGGGCUCCAAUGCAAAAACAUUUUGCCAAUUGCAUGCUCUUGGGAUGAAAUGCACGUACCUGAACGUUUGAGAACUGAAGUGGGCGAAAUGAACCUUCAACACCGGACCAACUGAUUAAGUACCCACUUGAAUCUGAAGUAUAAAACUUUACAGAGCACUGAUUGACUUGGCAGUUGAGUACCUUUGUAAUAAGGUUGAGACUGGCGAAUUGUGGGAGGGGCACUGUGUUGCUUGUAAGGAAGCACAAAAUGCAGGGAUUUCAAGACCUAGGAUUUGCCAUGUGGGCCAGAUCUGUCGAUGGUUUUCCAUUUGUCGGUCUUCAACCAUAUUUUGUUAUUCCAUGGUGUCUUUCUUGUUUUCGGUUUUGUACAAUAAAUUUCUUUCAUUGUUUUCGGGGUACUUGUCAUAAAUUGAUUUGUUUUUGUAAUUAAUUUCAUUUUCUUUAUUGUAAUGUAUUUGUAUGUCAGAUUUAUGUUAUUUUCGCCUACUGAAUGAACUUUUUCUGUUUGAUUUAUUUACCAUUUCUUGAAUCAUAUUUUCCUUGUGCAUUUACUUUAUUGUGUAUGUGUGUGCACGUUUAUGUAGAGCCUGGAGCUUCAGAAAUGAAGGCUUAGGGAUGACAGUUACUGGAUUAACUGUUUCCUCUCCGGGCAUUUGUAAUGUUUGUGUUUUGAUUUCAGUGUAUAUGUGUUUUGUUUAAUUUUCUGUUCUUUAUCCUGGAA